GAUGUGGAUUAAUUCGAUGCAACGCGAAAACCUUACCUACCCUUGACAUGUCCGGAAUCCCGAAGAGAUUUGGGAGUGCUCGCAAGAGAACCGGAACACAGGUGCUGCAUGGCUGCCGUCAGCUCGUGUCGUGAGAUGUUGGGUUAAAGUCCCGGCAACGAGCGCAACCCUUGUCAUUAGUUGCCAUCAUUGGUUGGGCACUCUAAUGAGACUGCCGGUGACAAACCGGAGGAAGGUGGGGAUGACGUCAAGUCCUCAUGGCCCUUAUGGGUAGGGCUUCACACGUCAUACAAUGGUCGGUACAGAGGGUUGCCAACCCGCGAGGGGGAGCUAAUCCCACAAAGCCGAUCGUAGUCCGGAUCGCAGUCUGCAACUCGACUGCGUGAAGUCGGAAUCGCUAGUAAUCGUGGAUCAGCAUGUCACGGUGAAUACGUUCCCGGGUCUU
rnacentral:rRNA from 1 species